rnacentral:rRNA from 1 species
AGAGUUUGAUCCUGGCUCAGGAUGAACGCUGGCGGGUGCCUAAUACAUGCAAGUCGAGCGGCAGCAUGCUUCUCACUUUUUGCUGGAUAGAGACAGGGCGAUUACAACGUAAUCGUACCUACAACGAAGAAUGAACUUCGGGUCUCGAUAUAGAUCAAGCAAAGGGUGAGAAGUGAUGGCGAGCGGCGGACGGCUGAGUAACGCGUAGGAACGUACCCCAAAGUGAGGGAUAAGCACCAGAAAUGGUGUCUAAUACCGCAUGUGGUCUUCGGAUUAAAGCUUCGGCGCUUUGGGAGCGGCCUGCGUCUGAUUAGUUUGUUGGUGAGGUAACGGCUCACCAAGACUACGAUCAGUAGCUGGUCUGAGAGGAUGAUCAGCCAGACUGGGACUGAGAACGGCCCAGACUCCUACGGGAGGCAGCAGUAGGGAAUUUUCCACAAUGGACGAAAGUCUGAUGGAGCAACGCCGCGUGCAGGAUGAAUGCCUUCGGGUUGUAAACUGCUUUUAUAUGUGACGAAUAUGACGGUAGCAUAUGAAUAAGGAUCGGCUACUCCGUGCCAGCAGCCGCGGUCAUACGGAGGAUCCAAGCGUUAUCCGGAAUUACUGGGCGUAAAGAGUUGCGUAGGUGGCAUUGUAAGUAGAUAGUGAAAGCGUGUGGCUCAACCAUACUCACAUUAUCUAAACUGCAAAGCUAGAAGAUGAGAGAGGUACCUGGAAUUCCCUGUGUAGGAGUGAAAUCCGUAGAUAUAGGGAGGAACACCGAUGGCGUAGGCAGGGUACUGGCUCAUUCUUGACACUAAGGCACGAAAGCGUGGGUAGAAACGGGAUUAGAUACCCUAGUAGUCC